rnacentral:rRNA from 1 species
CCUACGGGUGGCUGCAGUGGGGAAUAUUGCACAAUGGGCGCAAGCCUGAUGCAGCCAUGCCGCGUGUGUGAAGAAGGCCUUCGGGUUGUAAAGCACUUUCAGCGGGGAGGAAGGCGGUGAGGUUAAUAACCUCAUCGAUUGACGUUACCCGCAGAAGAAGCACCGGCUAACUCCGUGCCAGCAGCCGCGGUAAUACGGAGGGUGCAAGCGUUAAUCGGAAUUACUGGGCGUAAAGCGCACGCAGGCGGCCUGUCAAGUCGGAUGUGAAAUCCCCGGGCUCAACCUGGGAACUGCAUUCGAAACUGGCAGGCUAGAGUCUUGUAGAGGGGGGUAGAAUUCCAGGUGUAGCGGUGAAAUGCGUAGAGAUCUGGAGGAAUACCGGUGGCGAAGGCGGCCCCCUGGACAAAGACUGACGCUCAGGUGCGAAAGCGUGGGGAGCAAACAGGAUUAGAUACCCUAGUAGUC